rnacentral:rRNA from 1 species
GUGUCAGCAGCCGCGGUAAUACGGAGGAUGCGAGCGUUAUCCGGAUUUAUUGGGUUUAAAGGGUGCGUAGGCGGAUCAAUAAGUCAGUGGUGAAAACCUGCAGCUUAACUGUAGAAUUGCCGUUGAUACUGUUGGUCUUGAGUAUGGUCAAGGUAGGCGGAAUGUGUAAUGUAGCGGUGAAAUGCUUAGAUAUUACACAGAACACCGAUUGCGAAGGCAGCUUGCUGGGCCAUUACUGACGCUGAGGCACGAAAGCGUGGGGAUCGAACAGGAUUAGAAACCCGAGUAGUCC